AGUGAAUUUCGGUACUUGACCCCAUUGGAUGAAAACCGGGAGUCCGAUGAGCAUUUUGGUGGCUUGAACCUUUUUGUUUCUGAAUUGCCACGUUAGGAUCUGGUCAACAUCCUUCACACUGGUUUAAGCUCACGGUGAAUCGCGAGGGUGAAGCUGUGGGUUGAUAUAAAGGUUUUUUUUUAUUUUUUAUUUUUUUUGCACGUUUGUAUAUUUUAAGCGACUUGCACAAGGAGCCACACGCCUCCUGUAUCACCUUGUCUCCGGUGUGAAGUCGUGGAUUUUCCGCUUUUCCGGACUGAAGCAGAAGAGUAGAAACCAGGCGCUUUUACAAUCAUCUGAAGGGCAGUUACUGAGUUGGUGAACACAUCCAUUAUCCCUGGGUUCAGUGUGUGAGCAGCACUGAAUCCAGCGAGCAUAUCAAGCGGCAACCGUUCGUCGGGUAAUAUUGGCGAUGAAACCUGAUGGGGUGGCCACAGCAUCACCUGAACCAAUGGAAGCCGAAGGAACAGAACCCAUAAUAGAACAAACUGGCAAUGACGGGGCGUCUCAAAAUAAUACUACACCCCCACAAUCUGAUGAACCCCAAAAUGAGCAAGCGGCUCCUCCAACUGUAAAAGAAGCUUCUGGGAAAGCAGUAGAUGCUAAGAGCAAAUCCAAAGGCCCAGUCAAAGGCAAGAUUGCUGCAGGUCCAGCUACCACCGGACCAGGCACACGACCCAAAGCAACCCAAAGCCGUGUGGCUAAUGGCCUCACAAGGACUGCAUCGAGUACCCCAACCAAGAAACCCAUUCCAGCUAGCACUGCGGCAGCAGACAAGAAGAAACCCACCGCUAACGUUGGAUCUUCUGGUCCAAGUAAGAAACCCGUUGCCUAUUCUACUGCCGUUGCAACCUCAAGAGCCCAACCUAAAGCAACAACUGCUGGAACUAGCAAAUCAACGACAACCAUCGCAGCCAGUGGAACAAAGACAGGACCGGCUGCCAGCACAGCUACCAGCCUGAGUAAGAGACCUGCCACAGCUGCAACUAGUGCUGCAACCAAACCCAAAUCCGCAGCUCCUGCUCCAAGGCCAGCUGCUGCCCCUGCUGCCAAACCCAGCACUUCAGCCACAGCCAAAACCACUGCAGCUCCCAAAACUAACAGGGCAACUGGAAGUUCUGCCCCACGACCAGCUGCUUCUUCAACUACAGGAAGAACAGUAACUGGUACAACUACAUCUACUUCUGCAGUUCCUAGAACAAGCCGCACUGCUACUAAACCCCUUGUUACAGCAUCAGCUGCUCGGAAAGAUGUUGGAAAAACAAGCACAAUGGCACCUGCAAAAAAAACAGUUCCCUCAACAAUAUCCCGAUCUGCUGCCAGCAAGCCUUCAAAUUCAGAGGCUCCAAAACCAGCUGCAGUUACCAAACGACCUCCACCUAGCAUCAAAGCACCUCAACCCAAACCAGAUGACAAAAAAAGUGUACCAACACGUAAGGUGCCUUCUAGUCCACGAAACAAUGCCUCACGGCCAGCAUCAGGCAAGAACAUUGCAGCAUCUCCCAGUCACAAACAACCAGGUAGCAUGGUCAGUGCAAAGCUUCAGCCAGCUAAACCAACACAGUCUAUCAAAGGAAAACUGGAUGAUAAAGAACCUGAAACAAAACCUGAUGAUGAAGAACCUGCAACAAAACCCAAUGAUAAAGAACCUGCAACAAAACCCAAUGAUAAAGAACCUGCAACAAAACCCAAUGAUAAAGAACCUGCAGCAGAACAUGUGCAACUUUCAGCAGCUGCAGUAGCUACUGUAGCUGUAGCAACAGCUACAGCUGCAGCCAUAGCCAGGGAAGAGUCUGUUUCAGGGCUUGAAGCUACUCCAACUGUAGAGAGUUCUCUGGAUGUUCCAGCCUCUUCUUUAGAUGUUCAGGAAGUGGUAGAUGUGCAGGUCACUAAUGUCAGCUCUCAAAGUGUGCUGGAUAUUUAUAACACCGAGCCAGAGGCUCAAGAGGCCUUAAUAGAAGCCGGUUCUAUUGAAGUGGCUUGUCCAACAUCAUCUGUAGUCGAUCAGGAAUUUGAAGAGCAGGUAUCUAGAAAAGUUGAUGAAAAGCUUAUUGCGGCUGAGGCACCAGUUGCACAAGAAGCAACUGAGCAGGAAAGCUUAACUGCUUUGCAAUUUGAUAACUCUGCAGCUGCCAUAGUGUCUUCUGGUGUAGAGGUGGCUGAAAAAGCAGAAAGGAUUAACAGUGACUGUUCUGAAGAUGUGGAAGAAGAAGAGAGGGAAGGCAGUCAACAAGUGUCUCUGUCAGAAAUGAGUGGCACCCAGCCUACUGAAGAGUCUCGACCUGGGUCAGCUGGGCUUGCCAGCUCUGUUUGGCGGGCAGGGGCCUUGCUGUCUGAGCUUGACUCUGAGGAUGUGAGUUGCAGCCAGCAGGGAGCAUCAGAGCUAAGUGCUCCAGGUGUCCUGGAGGGCACGGAGAGCAUGGAUGAUCUAGGGGAUGCAAGCCUUAAAGGAGCUGAUGGUGAAGGUGCAUCUGUUGGGUCCCCUGACUUUGAGAAGGCUUCUGAUAUUCUUACUAAUGAAGAUGAUGAUGAUGAUGAAGAUGAUGAUGACCGAGUCUGUGACAUGGAGGUUGGGUCCGAAAGAGCAGAGGACUCUCAUAGGCAGAAUCAUGACAACGAGGAUGAUGAAGAGGAUGAAGAUGUAGAAAUGGCAAGCGAGGGCAUUACUGAGAGUGGGCUUGAAAGUUAUGGGAAUGCAGAUGAGGACGACUUGACUGAAGACUAUAGAUUAGACAACUUGAACCGAAUCCAGCCUCCUCCUAUGGUUCCUUCUGCCUCUCCAGCAUCCCAGUGGAACCAGCCUAGUUACUUUGCUGAUGCCUGGGCCCAGCCACCACAACCUGCCUCUACACUUCUUUCAAGUCCUUCCUCUGAAUGUUGGCAAGCAGACCCGGAAACCCCAACACAGACACCUGCUCAAGCAAGACUUGAUGUUAGCUCUGAAAGGGGCUCUCCAUCAAACCUUUUGGAGCCUCCACCUUGCACACCUCAACAAGCCCCAAUAUCUGCUGCAGAGGGGAAUGUUGGCCCCAAACUAGCCUUGACACCCUCUCAAACCUGCGAGUUCCAGCCUGAUACUUCCAGUGACCCUGACCUAGCAUCUGACAGUAACAGAGACACAAGUUUACCAGAAGAGGUGAAAGACAACAACUUUUCACGUACUGAGAUUCAUCCUAAAGUGGAGCUCCAGCCAGAACCACUAAACCCUGUCCCCACGGUCUUGCCAGACAUCAUGCAGGAUCUAGGCAUCCACCUUGAACGAGCUGAGGAGGAAGAGGAACCUGAAACUCUGCCGGCUGAUGAUGUACUGGGUGGUCCAGCAACUGCUCCAUCAUCUCCUUCAUCAGCUACUGAAGAUGAGGCAAGUGACACAGAAGGUGAAAUGCAGAUCAGUGACCCUCAAGCUGAGCUAUCUGGCACUGGCAAUGCCUGUGGAACAGCACCUGCGGGCCGCAACUUGUCAACUCUAGAGGAAUGUGAAGAAAUGGGUGGGGAGAAUGGCGGUGGUGGUAGUGAGACCCCUCAGUCUGCCACUUCUGCUGCAUCCUAUGGCUUUGACUACAUGACCUCUAACUCCAAUGCCCAGUCAUCUGCCGAGAGUUGCAGCAAGAGUCCUGGCAUCUUUUCUCUAGAAAAUGAAGAGCAGCUCCCAGAUGAGGCCAAGGAUCCAUCGCUUCUUAAAGAGUUGACCCUGAUACCCACUACUGCAUCUGAGGAAAAGAUUGACCCUGUUAAAAGCCAACAUGCAGAGUUCCAGUCUCACCCAGAGCAGCAGUACAUGCUGUGUGGAGAGUCCAGUGAGCUGCCUGAGCCUGAUUCAGUAGCGGGAGCUGUACCCUUAGAGUCUGGCUUGACUGAUGCUUCGUCCCGACAGCACCAGGAAGAGGAACAAGAUCUUGACUCUCAGCAUCCCUACUACUCCACUAUAUGCGAAAAGACUGAUAGUCCCCUGGCAGGUAACGUAUAGAGUGCACUUUAAAAUCCACCUUCCAGUGUACCUUGAUGUCAUCUCUAUAUAAGGGUUUUGUCUAGCUUGGGGUUUCCGUGUUGAUGAUGUCUUUUUAACCAGUUAAGAAAACGCUCAUUCAGCAGUGCCACUUUCACAAUAUGAUACAGCUAUUAAAAUUACAUAAGUAUAUGGCUUAGAAACCUGUAUGUGCAAUAGCUACUACCAUUUACACUAAAGGUGACUGUUUUUCUCAACUAUUCUUUUUAAAUCUAAUAAUGGGUGUUGGUCUGAACUGGCAUGAAGUUAUUUGUUUGUGGAGUCUUCAAAAUGACAGAAGUAACCAUUGAUGAAAAAUGAACAAUGUAAUGGACUUUCAACAUAUUUUCUGUGUAUUUACCAAUUCUUUUUUACUGAACAAAUGCAUAUUCAUUGCUUUUUGUAUUCUGUUGUCUAUUAAAUAAAUAAGUCUUUCAUCCCUUUUCCGUCAUUUCCAUAUCCUGUCCUCACAUGUUUCACUCUUCUGCACUUUAGGGUUUGCUAACCCCUUACUUUUUUAUGUCUUGUUUAUUUGGAGUACUUUAAUGUCUUAGCUUUAAAUAAAGGUUAGAUAUUUAACAUGAUUUCUCUUUGCUCUGUAUGUUUCUUGAUGUUUGAGUUUCAAGAUUUGUUUUAAUGCCCACUGUUCAUCACUAUGGACUGUUGCAAAUUGGUCACAUUUGUAGCCAAAUAACAAUGAACAUUUCAAUGGUAUAUUAAUUUGAGUAAAUAUUAGGCAUUUAAUAUUAAGAAACAUGUAAAACUACUACAUAAGGCUGAGACACUAAUUCAUGGUAUUGUUUUAUUAAGCAUCAGAGCACAUAAGUCAUAUUUAUUUAAUAUUCGCCUUAACUUAAACCAUUUGGUACCGUUUGUUGUGGCAUUAUAAGUUGGCUACUAAUACAAAAUUGUAAACUUGCACAUAUACACUUGCGCACACAAAUACACGUUGAACCUUCUGUAAGCAAAUUAUGUAAAGAAAACAGGAUGCUUGCAGCAGAAGGAGAGUUUAUUCUAUGCCAGUAUAUUCCUUCUGCUUGUAUUCCUCCACCCUUUCUUUUUUGACCCCACCUUCCUCUGAACUCCCUACCAUCCAGAGGAGGAAAAACAAGAGCUGACGCCAUCAACCUCCUGGAUCUCACCCUCUAUCAAGAAGGAAACUCCCAUUUUCCACCACAACCAAAUGACUUGCUUUCGAUCCAAAUGACGAUGUCGUCAAAACUUCGUCUCCGGCCACGUGCUCCCCAUGUGACCCAGCCGCCACGGCUUCCCACUGACCUCCCUCCCAGAAU